rnacentral:lncRNA from 1 species
UUUGAGUCCACUGGGAUGGGUUCGAAUGGUUACAGUUUAGCACAUAUCAAUCAACACUUACGAGAGCUGCAGCAGAAUUCUAAUGCCGACUCCGGCUCAGAAGUAUCUGGGUAAUCCAUGAAAUUUCACAGAGGAAAAUGGAGGAAAACCUAUAAAACCCAGUCACCUCAUAUUGAAUUCUGGACAAUGACCCAACACACCUCCAGGCUGUGUAAGGGCAAUUUUACCAAUAAGGAGAGUGAUGGAGUGCUGCAUCAGAUGACCUGGCCUCCACAAUCACCCGACCUCAACACAAUUGUGAUGGUUUGGGAUGUUCGCCCGCAGAGUGAAAGAAAAGCAGCCAACAAGUACUCACCAAAUAUGGGAACUCCUUCAAGACUGUUGGAAAAGCAUUCCAGGUGAAGCUGGUUGAGAGAAUGCCAAGAGUGUGCAACGCUGUUAUCAAGGCAAAGGGUUUGAAGAAUCUCAAAUCUCAAAUGUAUUUUGAUUUGUUUAAUACUUUUUUGGUUACUACAUGAUUCCAUAUGUGUUAUUUCAUAGUUUUGAUGUCUUCACUAUUAUUCUACAAUGUAGAAAAUAGUAAAAUAAAAUAAAAACUUGAAUGAGUAGGUGUGUCCAAACUUUUGACUGGUACUAUAUGUAUGAUAUCAUUUCUACCGACAGCAGCUGCAUUGUAAUAUAUCAUAAAAGAAUAUCUGCUGCUUCAUGUAUUCCAUUUUUUUUUAAUGUUCUUGAUAACCAGC